rnacentral:rRNA from 1 species
UGAUGACUUAUGAUGCGGCGAGAUCCCACCUCUUCCUAUUCCGAACAGAGAAGUUAAGCCCGUUUGCGCCGAUGGUACUGCAAUGCAAUGCGGGAGAGUAGGUAGCCGCCUUCUU